rnacentral:lncRNA from 1 species
GCAUUUCAAGAGGAAGGGAGGGGACGUCCGGUCCGGUCGCAUGGUACGGACCAACGAACGAGAAAUAUGUGGCAUCGUUCUCCCCCACGUGGGGAGAGAUCCAACCGCACGAAGCACCGGUUCGCACACUGCGGUUACAGUCCGGUACCAUUUACUGAAAACAACAACGGUCCCAUACCACACUUUUUCGGUAAAUCAGGUCCAUGCAGUGCAGUUCGUGGAGUUGAUCGUGGCCGUUCGUUUGUUUGGCGGCCAAGUCUCCCUCCUCCUGCUUUGAAAUGAAAAAAACUAUGCCGC